CAAGAUUGAAGUUAGAACUAGGAGUCCUAAAAUCUUAAUGAAAAGGAGCUUGGCAUCCAUGUGUUCGAGAGGUAGAAAACGACCGCUGUGGCGGGGUUUACCAGGUAGGUAUAAUUCAACGGGACCCUAUCCCGUCCUGUGGUCCUGAACAAAGGUUCCAUCCUGAAAAUAAAAGAGCUCGAGAGGUAGAAAACGACCGCUAUGGCGGGGUUUACCAGGUAGAUAUAGUUCAACGGGACCCUAUCCCGUCCUCUGAUCCUGAACAAAGGUUCCAUCCUGAAAAUAAAAGAGGGCCUUCACGGAAAAACUGUUGGAACGAAAUCUCUCAUACAAAAAGACCUGAACUAACUACUCGCUCAAUGAGCAUUGAAAUUCUAAUGAAUGCCCUUAUUUAGCAUCUUUGAGUUGAGCUUAGCCCUCUUCCUAUCCUAAACCCCUAGAAUCAUAAGGAACGAUUGAUGGUUGAUCUGGCAAUUCUUUUUAGUAAUUAGUUAGUCUAUCAAGCAGAAAACUAUGACUGAGGAAGUCUCAGGGAGGGCACCCCCUUUUAAGGUAAUUAUAUGCCGUCGCCCCCCACGUUAGAACUCUCUUUAACCGGAAUCUUUAUGGCUAAACCUUUUUUUUUAACCGAUUAAAUCGUAAGUUGCAUCCCCCAUGUUAGUACUCUCUUUAACCGGAAUCUUUAUGGCUAAACCUUUUUUCUUAACCGAUUAAAUUGUAAGUUGCAUCCUCAACUUCUGGAUGGGUUCGACAGUUUGGUUGGACUGAGACGAAUGUCUCAUUGGGUUUAGAGGGGGAUGGAAUGCAGAUUUGGAUGCCUCGUAUCGUAUGAUAAAGAAGAUAGUUUUUACAAAGCCCUAGAGCUAGAGCUUGUUGAAAAAGUAGCUUUGAAGAUGGGCUUCCUAUGGGAAAUAUGGAAGUUUAAUACGAUAACAAAGGCCUUAGGGAAUAGGAUCUCUUUCUGCGUCUACUGAUGCUUUUGAAAAACGCUUGUUUAAUUGAUUCGCACGUAAUACGAGAGCUUCAUACGUGGGAUUUAUUUUGCUAAGGAAAGUCAAGAGAAAAGGUGGUAGCUAUUCUAGCAAGUCUUCUGCGGUUGCUAGUAACUUAUUACACUAGUCUCAAUUUCAAAAGGUUGUACGAGCUGUAAUAGUAGUAGAAAACCUCCCGUCCCGAGUUGGCUUAAGCAAUGCCUUUACUAAUGAAUUCUCGUCAUCUCAGAUAAAAUCAGGUGUGAAGACCAGGCUAGCAAACAAUGAGAAAUGCCUUCCUCUUUUUUGUUGAUUUAGGUGACGUAGUCUUAUCC
rnacentral:lncRNA from 1 species